rnacentral:tmRNA from 2 species
GGGGAUGACGGGAUUCGCUGAGUUAGCCCUUUGAAAACACGUCAAGCCGAGCUUGAGUCAAGCUCGUAAAACAGGCUCAAACACAAGUGCUAAUUUAAAAGCACGCGUAGAGGGACUGAUUGCUAAAAUCAAUCCCUUUAUCUCUCGUCCCGCGUACGCAAUCGCUUAAGCUCGGAUGAGACGUCUCUUUUUGCUUCCUCGACUGCAAGAUAGAGGCGACAACCAAUCGAGGUGCCAUCUGUUAGGUCCGGUUAGACCUCAUCAGAAAUAAGCCAAACUAACCAAAAACAACAAGCUUGUACAAACGUGUUUCAAUCCUAAUUCAUACGGGGGUUCAACUCCCCCCAUCUCCACUA